rnacentral:rRNA from 1 species
GACAGAGGCCUCGAGCGUUAGGCGGAAUCACUGGGCUUAAAGCGUGAGUAGGCGGAUCGUUAAGUGCCUUGUGAAAUCCCACGGCUUAACUGUGGAACGGCUGGGCAUACUGGCGGUCUUGAGCCAUCUAGGGGCGACUGGAACAAACGGUGGAGCGGUGAAAUGCGUAGAUAUCGUUUGGAACGCCAAUGGUGAAAACAGGUCGCUGGGGAUGAGCUGACGCUGAGACACGAAAGCCAGGGGAGCAAACGGG